rnacentral:misc_RNA from 1 species
UGGCAAGCCACCGUCAGCCGAAGAGGCUUCCAAUAUAACAAAGCAAAGGGUUGCUGCAGCAAAACAAUACAUUGAGAAACAUUACAAGGAGCAGAUGAAAAAUUUGCAGGAGAGAAAAGAGCGUCGAGUUUUACUAGAACAAAAGCUGGCAGAUGCCGAUGUCUCACAGGAAGAUCAAACUAACCUACUGAAAUUUUUGGAAAAGAAGGAAACUGAAUACAUGCGACUCCAGAGGCAUAAAAUGGGAGCUGAUGAUUUUGAAUUAUUAACGAUGAUCGGAAAGGGUGCAUUUGGAGAGGUCAGAAUUUGUAGAGAAAAAACAAGUGGUCAGGUAUAUGCAAUGAAGAAGCUAAAGAAAUCAGAAAUGCUUCGUAGAGGACAGGUUGAGCAUGUGAAAGCUGAAAGGAAUCUUCUUGCGGAGGUGGACAGUGAUUGCAUUGUCAAACUGUAUUAUUCUUUCCAAGAUGACGAUUAUCUGUAUCUUGUUAUGGAAUAUCUACCCGGUGGGGA